rnacentral:rRNA from 1 species
AGGACGAACGCUGGCGGCGUGCCUAACACAUGCAAGUCGAGCGAGGAGAUUCCUUCGGGAUGAUCCUAGCGGCGGACGGGUGAGUAACACGUGGGCAACCUGCCUCAUAGAGAGGAAUAGCCUUCCGAAAGGGAGAUUAAUACCUCAUAACAUUGCAGUUUCGCAUGGAACAGCAAUUAAAGGAGUAAUCCGCUAUGAGAUGGGCCCGCGGCGCAUUAGCUAGUUGGUGAGGUAACGGCUCACCAAGGCGACGAUGCGUAGCCGACCUGAGAGGGUGAUCGGCCACAUUGGGACUGAGACACGGCCCAGACUCCUACGGGAGGCAGCAGUGGGGAAUAUUGUACAAUGGGGGAAACCCUGAUGCCAGCAACGCCGCGUGAGUGAUGACGGCCUUCGGGUUGUAAAGCUCUGUCUUCAGGGACGAUAAUGACGGUACCUGAGGAGGAAGCCACGGCUAACUACGUGCCAGCCGCGGC